CAAGAUUUACAUUCAUUGCUUAGAUCAUUUUUGCCCAUUUGCCCUUUGCUUAGACCAUUUGUGGGGAAGGGCAGAGGCAAAAAUGGUCUAAGCAAUGAAUGUAAAUCUUG